rnacentral:rRNA from 1 species
UAGGGAAUCUUCCGCAAUGGGCGAAAGCCUGACGGAGCAACGCCGCGUGAGUGAUGAAGGUCUUCGGAUCGAAAAACUCUGUUAUUAGGGAAGAACAAAUGUGUAAGUAACUAUGCACGUCUUGACGGUACCUAAUCAGAAAGCCACGGCUAACUACGUGCCAGCAUCCGCGGUAAUACGUAGGUGGCAAGCGUUAUCCGGAAUUAUUGGGCGUAAAGCGCGCGUAGGCGGUUUUUUAAGUCUGAUGUGAAAGCCCACGGCUCAACCGUGGAGGGUCAUUUGAAACUGGAAAACUUGAGUGCAGAAGAGGAAAGUGGAAUUCCAUGUGUAGCGGUGAAAUGCGCAGAGAUAUGGAGGAACACCAGUGGCGAAGGCGACUUUCUGGUCUGUAACUGACGCUGAUGUGCGAAAGCGUGGGGAUCAAACAGG